ACUUUGACGCUUCAAUAUACUUUUCUGGCCGUCAAACUUUUUCUUCUGUUCAUCUCACCUGCGAUAAUAAUAUCGAGGCGUUACAGAAUCAGUAUGAACCCAAACGAUGUCUCUAACCAACGCAUUAACCAAAGCUUUCCACUUCUACAAGAUUUCUUAUUGAUCUCCCAUUAAUUUCUUGCUUUGGAUCUUCAAUAUAAAAAGGUCGGCCGAUUUACCUUGAUAGAAGAUGAAGAACUCAAUAGGCAACCCCCAGAAAAUUGAGCACGUUUUCCAAAGAGGAGGAGAUCUAAACCUGGCCAGCUCUUAUAUGAAGAGGUUGCAGAUCGCUGCCAAACCCGUGCUAACAACAAUAUUGAUCACGCUGAGGAAACUUAGAAUGAUGGGAACCGCACAAAAGAUGGGAUCCAGAUUGUGCUGAUGAGAACAAUAGUGGGAAGAAUAAGCAGUUGCGAAUGAACUUUCUCAAGAAGAUAUUAGAGCCAGAAAGAGCCGUAAUGCUUAGAAAAGGCGGGUCAUAACAAUUCCUUCGAGCUUUAAGGAGAUUGAAAGGGUACUCAAAUAUUCGCAAGGGGAAUAAGCGGUGCAGGUUUUAGGGUGUCUAGCGAAGAAGAUUACGGGAGAGUAACAUUUUAAAAUAUCAUGGUCUUCAUGUUUUCGGAGUUUGAGAUCUUUCGUAUCAGCUUUGUUUGAUUGCAAACCCAAUGCAGAUUGUUGAUGGUAGCAGGAACAUUAACAAGCUAUGAAUGUAAAAGAAAUUCAGUCCCUGCAAGAUACAGAUACGCUUUCAGAUUCAUAGUGAUACAAAUAACAGCUGUGAAAGUCACCUACCAAAAGCCUUUUUACUUUGCAAGAAAGUUUGAUUGCUUUUCUCCUAUGUUACCAUCCAGUAAACAGCUUAAACUUACAAAGCGGAGAAGGAAGAGAUGGUACAGAUGAAGGGAUUACGGAUUGCUUGACAAAACCGGUGGGAUCGAGUCCUUCAAUAGCCUGUCAAACUCAAAGUGUGAACCAUCAGCACAACCAAUUUCAAAGUUCCACUUUAAUUUUGAGAGAAAGAAGUAACAAAAAAUGAUGUCUGAAUUUCCCAAAAGUGGAAUUGAUAGAUUUAAGAGUCUGAUUGCCAUCUUGAAGAAAAAACAAUAUAAACUAGGAGCAGCAGGAUGUGGAGGAAAUACUGCAGUACACAGACAUCAUGCUUCCUCACCUAGAGAGAGAGAGAGCGAGUUCCUGCCCUGAAUGGUGAUAGUGCAGAAGAAAGCAUUAACAUUAAGCAAAGAACAAGCAAUGGAGAAGGCUAUGGUGCACAUAGCUCUGUGAAUAGCGUGAGCAUGAUCUGUUCUACAUUCAUAUAUUUGUAGCUUACUAACUGUUAUGUAUUCGCUGAUGCGCGGGUAUAGUUAAGUUAAUUAGUAUUUAUAAUUUAUUAUGUAAAAUUAUUAUUUAUUUAUAAAAUAUAUAAAUUUUUUUAUGAAAGUA